UCAAUAUUUUUUUUGGGGAUUUAAAGAAUUAGAACUGAAACGUUUAGGGUAUUUCUCUUCUUGUCCUCCUCAUUUUGCCCUAACAAAGAAUUUUUUAAAAACUUCAUUGAAGACCAAACAUGCGAAGGUGAAGAACACUUUGGAUUUCAAAAACCUUCAUGGAAGCUGUUUACAUUGAUGUCGUAGCUCGAUUCAAUGAAGAAACUUGAAAAAAAGAGUAUGAGUAAGCCCAGUGUUGUUGUCCAUCACAUGGGGGAGUUUGUUAGAGACAAGACAAUUCUUUAGAAGAGUGGUGUUCAAACAACUGUAUAUGAUCAAUGUAGCAAAAAAUGGGGUAUGUCUAACGUGUUAAAGAUGGUUAUUUACUGGGGCUAUGAAAGAAAUGUGUUUAAGGUUUGGAGAAAACUUGAAGGAAUAGAUGAUUACUUUUUUGAAGUUAACAAUGAUGAUUAUGUUGUAGAUGUUGGUAAACAUACUUUUCAAAUAAAAACAUGGGUGGGCACCCACAUUUGUGCUGUGGUUUUGAAUAUUAGAACUGCAAAGUCUGAAUGGGUUGCAAAGAUUGUAGUAAACAAGAUGCAGACAAGUGAUAAUGUUAGGAUUAAUGAUAUAAUUCAAGACAUGAGGAAGAAUUAUGCAUAUGGCCUAAAGUUGAUGUAAAUGUUUUACAUCCCCCUUUGUACAAGAAAGGACAUGGCUGACCAAAGAAACUUAGGUUUAGGGAAUUAGCGAGGGUGGUUCAAUACUGGGGAGAGUUGGGGUGACCUACAGAUGUACCAAGUGUAAUAAAAUGGGUCAUAAGUUAAGAAGAUGCAAGAAACAACUCAGUAUUCAGAUGCUUUGAAAAGAAAGAGAAAAACUCCUUGAUACAAUUAUCAUCCAGCUGAGACAAGUGAUACACAUACAGAUGAGCCAAGUGAUACACAUCCAGCUGAACCAAGUGAUGCACUUCCCGUUGAACCAAGUGACCUCCCUGCACAUCAACAACCUAAGAAGAUGAAAUUAAAAAGAAUCAAGAAAGUUGCACCUAAAGCUUAAAUAGCCUCAUUCACCUCAACAUGAAGGGGGUGUAACCUCGAUUAUACAAGCGAAGUAAGGAAUGACAACUUGAAAACCUACCACUUUACCCCCCCCCCCCCUCUAUUUUUGAAUAACAGAGGGGAAAAGUGGCACUGGUCAUGAGUUUUAUCCCCAUCAACUGCAUUUUUUGAAUUUUCAAAACUAAAAAAAGCGUUAUACUUUCACCUCGUGUUUUCAAAAUACCUGAGGGGAAAUUUUUAAUUUUUUAAAAUUUUAAUCUAUUUUUUUCAAUCUGCAAAACAUCUAA